rnacentral:lncRNA from 1 species
CAUCCCACUGCUGAAUUUCAGUUUUGAGAAAUUUGAUACAUUUCCUUUCAAUCACCGUAAUUCCCUCAUCCGAGGUCGGAAUGAGGUCAUUCCAAAGCCUAUGGCUUCCUAACUCAGUGCACUACAACAUAUCAAAAGCCCAGAUCUUUUAAAGCACAAAAAGUGGACAAGAAUGCCCCCAUUACAGACUGCCCAAAAAUAGUUUAUCAUGAUCGGUCAACCAUGUUUGACCAUCUAUAACUUCUAAUCUAUACAUGAUAUAGACUUGAUUCUUUUUGAAGAUUAAAGACCACAUUUCAGGCUACACAUAACAAUUUUUAAAGAACA